AUGGAAUCGGGAGAAAAGGAUUAUAAGAAAGUAGUAAAAGUUAAUUUUUUUCUUUCACAGAGACUUCACUGACAUUGAUAGAUAGAUCGGUAGAGCACA